rnacentral:rRNA from 1 species
CCUACGGGUGGCAGCAGUGGGGAAUAUUGGACAAUGGGGGCAACCCUGAUCCAGCCAUGCCGCGUGUGUGAAGAAGGCUCUCGGGUUGUAAAGCACUUUCAGUGAGGAAGAACGCCUGGUGGUUAAUACCCAUCAGGAAAGACAUCACUCACAGAAGAAGCACCGGCUAACUCCGUGCCAGCAGCCGCGGUAAUACGGAGGGUGCGAGCGUUAAUCGGAAUUACUGGGCGUAAAGCGCGCGUAGGUGGCUUGAUAAGCCGGUUGUGAAAGCCCCGGGCUCAACCUGGGAACGGCAUCCGGAACUGUCAAGCUAGAGUGCAGGAGAGGAAGGUAGAAUUCCCGGUGUAGCGGUGAAAUGCGUAGAGAUCGGGAGGAAUACCAGUGGCGAAGGCGGCCUUCUGGACUGACACUGACACUGAGGUGCGAAAGCGUGGGUAGCAAACAGGAUUAGAUACCCCGGUAGUC